rnacentral:lncRNA from 1 species
GACCGGCGCGGGUGCUGGAGGUCAGCAGGGGCCGUGGGCGGUGGACGCUGGAAUGCCUUGGGUUCCGAGGGACCCAGCUGCCUGAAUGGACACGAGUAGGAGGUUUUUGCUGGGCGUCUUUGCGGUGGCGGGAAGCGGUGAGGGAGGGAAAGAAGGAUACAAGCUCAAGGGGCAGGCCGGGUGCACCAUCCAUCCCCGUGCCCUCGGGUCAUCUCAGGGAGACUGUGGGAUGAUAGUGCGUUUGUGGGCCACAGUUCACAACGAUGGGCCCUGCAUCGGGUCAGAGGACCCCUCCGGAACAGGGGGAUGCACAAGGUCAAGAGAAUGCAUGGAAUCAGAGGGCUGCACCAGGUCAGGGGGGCUGCACCGAGACCAGAGGAAGCAUCAGGUCAGGAGGAUGCACUGGAGUGUGCAUCCCCAGGGGGCCACACUGGGUAAGGAGGAUGCACCAGGUUAGGAGGCAGCACUGGGUCAGAAGGAUGCACUGGAAUCAGGGGACUGUACCAGGUUGGGGGGCGUGCCUCAGGUCAGGAGGAGGCACUGGGGUCCGGGGGCAACAUUGAGUCAGGGGCAGCCCUAGGUCAGGAGGAUGCAUGGGGUCAGGGGAUGCGCAGGAUCGGGGGAGAUGCCCGGGGUCGUGGG